rnacentral:rRNA from 1 species
ACAGAGGCGGCGAGCGUUGUUCGGAUUUACUGGGCGUAAAGGGUGCGUAGGCGGUUCUGUUUGUCGGAUGUGAAAGCUCACAGCUCAACUGUGGAAUUGCAUUCGAAACUACAGGGCUGGAGUACAGGAGAGGAGAGCGGAAUUCUCGGUGUAGCGGUGAAAUGCGUAGAUAUCGAGAGGAACACCGGUGGCGAAGGCGGCUCUCUGGACUGAUACUGACGCUGAGGCGCGAAAGCUGGGGGAGGAAACAG